UCCAAAUCUGACUCCCAAUGUCCAGUGUCACCUCUAGUCCUUGCCAAGACAGCUGAGUCCCCUGGAGUAGGGAUGGGGCUACUGUAGAAUGGCCUAAUGGUCCAGGCUUCUUGCAGCCUCUGCCCACCUUGUGGCCUCCACAUUUUACUGGUUUGACUUGGAGCCUCAAACUCACAUCUUCCAUUAUUCUGCGGGGAACAGUACUCCUGUCCAUGGCUCCUUGGCCAGCUCUCCUUCCCACCAUCUUGCCCAGAUCAUCUUCUACCCAAUGUCUUUUCUUUCAAACUCUCGAAAUCAAUUUUUUUCCUACCUCAGAGAUUUGACUGUUGCUUCUAUUCCUUUCCAUAAAAAGUGCAUUCACCAGUGGAUGCCUGGGUGGCUGGAAAGGUGUGCAAGCAAAUAGGUUGGUGUGCAAGCGAAUAGGUAAGUGUGCAAGUGAAUAGGUGGGCGAGAACCAUAAGAUGGGGGAAUCAUGGAUGGUUAGACAGGUGGGUAAAUUAAACAGAUAUGUGAUUGAGGGAGUGGCUAGGUAGGGGGAUGCAUAGAUGGAUGGACCUGUGAUUCAUGGGUAGACAAAUAGGAAGGGGUGUAUAGAUGGAUAGAUGAGUAGAUGAGACAGACGGAUGCAUGAGGAGAUGGAAGGGAUGGAAAAGGGGUGGACAGAGGAAUGAUACAUGAGAUGGAUGGAUGGACAGAGGGAUAGAAGUGAAUGGAUGAACAGUUGGAUGGAAGGAUAGAUGGGAUGGGGCACAGGUGUGUGGUUAGAUGGAUGAUGGACGAUGGAUGGAGAAGAUGGAUGGAUGAGGUAGUUAGGUGGAUGGACCAGACUGCAGACUGGUGUGUAGGGCGCUGUUUUACAGAAGGAAAAACACAAGAUCAGUUCUUCUGAGACUCACAAGCCAAGGGGGAUGGAAAGAUGGGGGACAGGCUGUUGAGUUCAUCGGACUUCUAGGAUUAUGCCAGAGCAACCCCCAUCCCCUGUCCUAACACAAGGGGCCUGAAAUAGACCCCUCACUGAGCCCCUGCCCAGGGUCUUGGGUCCUGUGGUUACUGGUGUAGAUAGGUAAUUACUCAGGCCCACGUGGCUCUCCCCUGAUUCCUUCUGUGGCCAAGCCCUCCCUUCCUACAAGUGCUUCACAUGUGUCCUCUGUGGAGGACAGUGUCUUCUGUGUCUCUAGUUGUCAGAUGCAGAAACUGAAGUUCAGCCCUAGGAAGUAACAGAUCUGGGAUCAAGUCCCCAUCUUCAGGCUUGUCCGUCUCUUGUCUCUGUUUGCCAGAGGAAGAGUCUGCCGUUCAGAGUGGCUCAAACCACAGUGCCUAGCAAAGCUGCCCAGCCCUAAGGCCACUGGAAUUGACAGGAGCAUCAAAGGCCCUGGGGCCCCCGGACAACUCGGCUGGGACGUGAGUUCAGAAAGCACUAGCGAGGAGCCUGACGCCAGCAGGUUUCUUGAGUAAAGCAACUCUGCUCUGGAGGGAAUUCCCAGUGCUGAGCAUGACGGAUCCCGUGUGUGGCGCCCCUUGGCUAGUCAGGACUUGAGAUGAGACAAAUGUAAAAGAUUCUUAAAUUGCUAUGAAACCCCAGAGGUUCACCUGAAGAAGAGGAAGCACACAGAAAUGGGGUUGCUUAAGUGAUAAAAAAGCAAAACCCUCUUUAAAGAAGAAAACAGAGGAGUCACGCUAUUCUGUGUUUGCAGAGUGUGGACGGCGCCUUCACCCCCCUCGCCAUGCCUCAAUGAAGGGUGGACUAUUGAGGGGGGACCUAAAAGCAAGCCAUUUAUUCACUUAACCAGCACUCCUGGACACGGAGAGAAGAGGCAACUGGGGUGCGCCUUGGGAGGUAGAGAUGGCAACACAGCCAUCCUGCCUUUACGAGCUGCUGGUCAGGCAAGAUGAGGCUCUUGUCAACCCCAGAGUGGCCCUGCUGAGGGGAACUCAGAGCCCAUGAGUCAGCGGCCGUGUUUCUAAGAACAAUAGUGCUCUUUUGAUAAACAUUUGUUCAACCAGCAAACUUCUGGACAUUCAACAAACAUUAAACAUUUGUUUGCCCGA